rnacentral:rRNA from 1 species
GGGAGGCAGCAGUGGGGAAUAUUGCACAAUGGGCGCAAGCCUGAUGCAGCCAUGCCGCGUGUGUGAAGAAGGCCUUCGGGUUGUAAAGCACUUUCAGCGGGGAGGAAGGCGGUGAGGUUAAUAACCUCAUCGAUUGACGUUACCCGCAGAAGAAGCACCGGCUAACUCCGUGCCAGCAGCCGCGGUAAUACGGAGGGUGCAAGCGUUAAUCGGAAUUACUGGGCGUAAAGCGCACGCAGGC